UGUCUGGGAUGUCUCACAGGCAUCUCAGACGCCAAGUAGAAGUUUGGGAGCCACUUUAGCAGCUGUAUUCAGCCACUCCCAUUCCUUCUUUACUCCAAAAUAUACCUCAGGUCAGUCAAUUCCUGUAGGGAAAAUUCUGCCUUUUGUAAACAAAGUCUAGCUGUCACUGGACAGAGAAGCCAUGUCUCUGAUUCCAGAGACAAAGCCGCGCUCUUUGACAAGAUUUGUUUCACUGGAGACUCAAUGAUAACAAAAAAGAAGUAAACGCGGGUCAUGCUGUGACACAAGAUACCGGGUGGGCUUUUCUCUUUGAGGCCUGCGGACCCCGCCUCGUCCCGGCCUCCACUUCUGUAUCCCCCUCAUAGGCAUUAUCUCAGCACUUGCCAAGCAGAGAUACCCAUCCCUCCCUCAAAUAACCGGCAUUGGAAAUGACCCUCGGAGGAGACCAAGUCCACUUCAGAGCCAUGGUCUUGUCGCAUUGGAAUGAAACCAAAGUGUGACAUAGCAAUCUUGGUUUGCACAGUGAAUGGGCACCACACCUCUGGCCGGCCUCAUUGCCACCUUAAGAACUGUUGUGGGGACGCCUGGGUGGCUCCGUCA